GAUGAACGCUGGCGGCGUGCUUAACACAUGCAAGUCGAACGGAAAGGCCCAAGCUUGCUUGGGUACUCGAGUGGCGAACGGGUGAGUAACACGUGGGUGAUCUGCCCUGCACUUCGGGAUAAGCCUGGGAAACUGGUCUAAUACUGGAUAGGACCACUUCUUGGAUGUUGUGGUGGAAAGUUUUUUCGGUGUGGGAUGAGCUCGCGGCCUAUCAGCUUGUUGGUGGGGUAAUGGCCUACCAAGGCGUCGACGGGUAGCCGGCCUGAGAGGGUGUACGGCCACAUUGGGACUGAGAUACGGCCCAGACUCCUACGGGAGGCAGCAGUGGGGAAUAUUGCACAAUGGGCGCAAGCCUGAUGCAGCGACGCCGCGUGGGGGAUGACGGCCUUCGGGUUGUAAACUCCUUUCGCUAGGGACGAAGCGUUUUGUGACGGUACCUGGAGAAGAAGCACCGGCUAACUACGUG
rnacentral:rRNA from 1 species